rnacentral:rRNA from 1 species
GUGCCAGCAGCCGCGGUAAUUCCAGCUCCAUAGCGUAUAUUAAAGUUGUUGUGGUUAAAAAGCUCGUAGUUGGAUCUCGGCGGUCUGAGGGCGGUUCGCUUCAGAGCGCUACUGCCCUAUAGACCGUAGUUUUGCCAGAGGUCUCAGGGUGCUCUUAACCGAGUGUCUUGCGAUGCUGGCAGGUUUACUUUGAAAAAAUUAGAGUGCUCAAAGCAGGCUUUUCACGCUUGAAUAUUCGUGCAUGGAAUAAUGGAAUAGGAACUCGUUUCUAUUUUGUUGGUUUUCGGAAAUCGAGUUAAUGAUUAACAGGGACAAUUGGGGGCAUUAGUAUUCAGACGACAGAGGUGAAAUUCUUGGACCGUCUGAAGACUGACUACUGCGAAAGCAUUUGCCAAGAGUGUUUUCAUUAAUCAAGAACGAAAGUUAGAGGUUCGAAGGCGAUCAGAUACCGCCCUAGUUCUAACCAUAAACGAUGCCAGCUAGCGAUCUGCCGAGUUUUUUUUGUAGGCUCCGCAGGAAGCUUUCGGGAAACCAAAGCUUUUGGGUUCCGGGGGAAGUAUGGUUGCAAAGCUGAAACUUAAAGGAAUUGACGGAAGGGCACCACCAGGAGUGGAGCCUGCGGCUUAAUUUGACUCAACACGGGAAAUCUCACCAGGCCCGGACACUGGAAGGAUUGACAGAUUGAGAGCUCUUUCUCGAUUCGGUGGGUGGUGGUGCAUGGCCGUUCUUAGUUGGUGGAGUGAUUUGUCUGGUUAAUUCCGAUAACGAACGAGACUCUGUCCUGCUAAAUAGUUGGGUCGUCCUUCGUGCGAUCCAAGUUCUUCUUAGAGGGACUGGCUGCGUCUAGCAGCACGAGAUUGAGCAAUAACAGGUCUGUGAUGC